AGAGCGAACGCUGGCGGCAGGCCUAACACAUGCAAGUCGAACGCACCUUCGGGUGAGUGGCGGACGGGUGAGUAACACGUGGGAACGUACCUUUUGGUUCGGAAUAACGCAGGGAAACUUGCGCUAAUACCGAAUGUGCUCCGUAAGGAGGAAAGAUUUAUCGCCAUUAGAGCGGCCCGCGUUAGAUUAGCUAGUUGGUGAGGUAAAGGCUCACCAAGGCUACGAUCUAUAGCUGGUCUGAGAGGAUGAUCAGCCACAUUGGGACUGAGACACGGCCCAAACUCCUACGGGAGGCAGCAGUGGGGAAUCUUGCGCAAUGGGCGAAAGCCUGACGCAGCCAUGCCGCGUGAAUGAUGAAGGUCUUAGGAUUGUAAAAUUCUUUCAGUAGGGACGAUAAUGACGGUACCUACAGAAGAAGCCCCGGAUAACUUCGCGCCAGCAGCCGC
rnacentral:rRNA from 1 species